AUCUACAAAAUGACAAUCGUUUCUUCGUACAAAUACACAUAUAUACGUACUUACGAUAAGUAUACUUACUUACUCUCCAGAGAAAUUCACUCUCUCAAACAUUCUACCCCGUUAGCUUCCGUGUUUGCGCGAGUUUGUGAAACGACUGCACGAGCUAGAAAGAGAGGAAAGAAUAUGACGAAUUUAACGGUCGACAGUGAGCGUGACAAGUGCGUGCAACGGGUGGAAAAUCGAAGGAGGGUAGAAAAAGAAAGUAGGAAGAGGGUGUUCUUCUUUUCUUAGUCUCCUUAGUAGGGUUCGUGCGUUGGUGGUUGUAAGUCGGCGGUUCGUUCAUGGCCAUCGAAUUAAUAGGCCAUCUGCUCAACUCCUCCGAGCUCCUUUAAGGAAGUCAAUGUUUAGGAAGUCCAUGGGAAGCGGCGACAACGGAAAGACCCAUAAAGAGAGGACAUGGGAACGAGAGUUUGCAAGGAAGUUGCGUACGGUGCCUCAUACGCCCCUUUGCCUUUUUCUUCUUCUUCGUUAAGAGGAAGAAAGAGAGAGAGAGAGAGAGAAAGCUUAGGUGAAAAUGACUGGAUUUUCGUUCUUCGAUAAAAAGAGCUUUUAUAGAAAAUACUCUUCCCGAACGGUUUCUCAUAUUUGUAACUCACCCCUUCCAUCAUUAUAGCAUACAUGACUUCGUCUUAUUACUUAACACUUCAACGACGUACGCAAACAUACUCGUUGCUGUGGGAAAGAAUGCAGAGGGUUGCCUGUAAUCUGUUACCCGAUAACUUUUUUUCUCGUCAUGAAAAUGUACUCUUGAGUAAUGCCCAUCAUCAGUAUGAUUUUUGCCCAUAGUAGCAUAAAAGAGAGAAUGAGAAAAAGAGAGAUAGUAGAAGAAACGUUUAGAAGACUCUUGAAAAUUCCAGACGAUAAACGAAUAGACAGGGUGCGUCUGCUUUUCGAAAGAGCAGCGAGAACAAGAUUAAUAAAUCCAAAACGACGAAGCCGCCGUCAUGCGCCUGGUAACAAUAACGAAACACCUUUUAUGCACACGUGGAUUCUACCUCCUUCAGUAGGAGCCACCGCCACCACCACCACCACCACCAUCACCAUCACCAUCACUAUCAACAUCAGUACAAGCAGAACCACCAGCACGAGCAACGUCUACUCUUCCUGUCUCUCUCGCUUCCACCUUCUACCUUCUUCUCCACAUUCACCUGCUGCUAUUCGAAGAUCAGCUGCCCUAACCGCCACCUUGGCAGCACCUUGCUACCCACCACUGUCCUCCUUCACCUCCUCCUCCUCCUCCUCUUCUUCCUCCUUCUUCUUCUUCUCUUCAUUCUCUUUCUUCUUCUUCUUCUUCUUCUUCUUCUUCUUCUUCUUCGUCGUCGUCGUAGUCGUUGUCGUAGUCGUUGUCGUCGUUCAGGAUCUUCUUCUUCCUUCUUCUUCUUUCUCUUAGUGCUCGCAACCACAUGCCCCCGCACACGCAUACGCCCAGGCGUCCAAGAAUUUUUCCAAAAAAAUCCAGCUGCAACGAUCUUUUAUGGGGGUCUCCCGAUGCUGGCCAUCCUGCACCAUGCACCAUGUACCAUGCACCGGCACCAAACGCAGCUUGCCAGUCUCCGUCGUCGUUACUUCCUUCUACAAAGUUAUCUUACUUUCUCGACCUUGUCUUUUUCUUUCUCUUGAUCGUGUAAUUGCGUUGCAGAAAGAAACGCGAGAGUUACUCGUGUGAUAAUUCAUCAUUAAAGGAAUGCAAUUCGAUUCGUUCUCUCCGUUCUUCCUUUCAUUUAACCUAUUCUAAUCGAUAAGUAAUAAUCAAACGCAUAGAUAAUUUUUCAAAUUACUUUAAAGGUGUCUUAUUUAAAAAUCUCAUUAAAAAUAUAAUUAUAUUUUUAUAAAAAAAAAGAAGAGAGAGAGGAGGAAAAUAUAGAAGACAGGAAAAAAAAAGAGAGAAAAUGAUAGGCCCACAUGUGUCAUUAUCGUUCUUCAUUUUAUAGGAUAUACAUCGAAUAAAAUAUAAAAUCGUUGUCGUCACACAUAUGUAUGUCACUAUCUUUCAUAAGAAACCAGCAUACUGUAUAUAUGUGUACGUAUGUACAUAUGGUAAUAUAAUAUGAACUUGUUAACAGAAGAACAAAAGAGAAAGAUCGUUUGAAUGAAUUUUAUAGUUCUUUAUUAUAGUUUUUUCGUAUAUUAAAUAUCGAAGAUAUUUGGCAGUUAAAAUUUGUGCUUGAUACAACGAAUGAUCGUAGAACGUGGCAAUUUCCGUCUUUCAUUUCGUAUUGUAACAAAAUAGCGUUGUUAUAUACAGCGCAUUUGUCGUUUUUUCUUUGCAUAGCAGAGAAGCAGCAGGUGAAGGCACCAAACUCCACGUGGAGUGAAAGAGAGAAAGACAGAAAACGAUCGACUUUUAAGGCAACCUUUAACUGGCACACGCACGCGCUUAUUCUGCAAUUUAGAUAACACGUAUUUAAUCGCACAUGUCGUUUGCAGCAAAAUUCACCGGCUUGACAACACAUAUGUAUAUAUGUAUAUACGUAUGUGUGUGUGUGUGUGUGUAUAAAUAUAUUUUUAAUGCUACAUUAAUUUCAAAAUAUUUUUUUUUAAUACGUCCUUAAAGUUUUCAUAAAUAAUUAAUAAUAAUAGAGAAAGUAACGAUAUAACUUAUGACAAUAACUUACGAAAAUAUUUUCCUUGGGAACACCGGAGUAAAGUUUGAAUUAAUUAAUUAAUUAAUUAAUUAAUUAAUUAAUAAAGAAGAAAUAGUAAAUAAAAAUAUAAACGUAAUAAAUUAUAUAAAAGAAUAUGAGAAAUCGAUCUGCUAAUUUUAAGAAAAUCCGAAGGUGUCGAUAUUCCCAGAGAGCCUUAAUGAAAUUCAAAGAGGAUUCGAGUCUAAAGCGUAUCAAUUACGUUUCCAACCCUAAAAGAAUCGAAAAGGGUUUCGUCUGGCGCCGUUUUUCUUUCCCACAAGAGACCAGCAGUGAGAAUAUCGAUUCUCUGAGCAUCGUUGGAGAAUAAGGAUGAAGAUGAAGAAGAGUAGGAGGAGGAAGAGGAUGAACAUUCACGCUUGGACCCUCGUUUUGGAUUUAUCGGGCUGGACGUCCGGCCAAAUCUUUAAAGCCCACGGAGAAUUGGAGCAUAUGGCGAAGGACGAUUCUCAACGAAGGAAGAGAUCUCUCUCUCUCUCUCUCUCUCUCUUUCUCUCUUUCUCCCUCUCCCACCCUUUCGUUCUGUUCGACCCCCAGGGUGCAUGUCCCGUAAAAAUUCGCUGUGCUACCUUGUAUAUCUCCGUCGUGCAUCAGUCUCGACUUAUUUAAGAAGAUCAAGCAUCUUCCUUUCCAAGAAAGUCUCCCCUCAUACCAAAAAGAAAGUAAGAAAAAGAAAGACGUCCUACUCGAUUAAAAGAAUUCUAACGUCAACUGCAUGGCGAGUCGAUCGAUUUCUGUCAAGAAUCAUUAAGUUCCAAGGGUAAGAAUCAUGGGAUGACCGAAAAAAUCCUCUUGGUCCUCUACUUUCUGAUGAAUCUUUGCUGAUCGGAAGGAUCGUUUCAGGGUUAUCUCUCCUUUUCUACGGGAGAAUCCCUACACGUCUGUUCGUAGUAUUGUAGGAGAGACGAGUAGGUUGGGGAGAAAGAAAAAAGAAGGAAGAAAAAGGAAAAGAAUCGAGUCCACCACUGACUGUGGGAGAUCGCAUACGUACGCAGAGUGUAGGCAACUCGUACACUCUUCUCUUCAGAGAAGGAGAAGCAGAGAGAGAAAGAAAGAAAGAGACAGAGAGAGAGAGAGAGAGAGAGAGAGAGAGAACUCGUGAGAGAAAACCUGCAUGGCGAGAGAGAAGGACGAAGAGAAUCACCUGCGGUGCACCUGCUGUGCAGGGGGCUCCUUUGGUCCCGUAUUAAAAGUGUAUCAGGCCCUCCUCCUCAUCUUCUUUCCUCCUUGAAUUGCCUCCUUGGAUUCUUCUCUCUCUUUCUUCCGAACUCCCUCGAUCGCUAACUCCUCCACCACGAAAUACCUGGUGGCCCUUCUACACGGUAAUUGCCCCUCAACCGACUUUUGCCUUUGAUGGAAACGAUCUGACAAAAACGUGUGCGAGAUCGGCAUAGUCCUGAUCAGGACAUAUUGUCUUGAAUAAUCCUAAUAUUUUCAAAAUUGAUAAUAAGAAAGAAAAAGAAACGUAUCUUCCGUCUGGCAGACGAGAACGAAGAAGUCGAGGAAACGACUAGAAGACGUUCCCGUCGUUGUGUACUGCGAACGGCAUCGUUCGUUCACGAGCUCGGCAACGGCCAACAGGUGUAUAGCAGGUGCACACCCCAGCACCUUGGAGAGUGUUGUAGAGAGCUAAAAAGUUUCACGUCCACCUGAAGGUCCCACGCGAGAAACCGAGCAACUUUCAACCGUCGUCUUCGAGCGCCACCACCACCCUUCGACAGACCCACCCCACGAAGAAGCAUGUAUGACUCAAACAAAUUCGAACGUUACACGGUAAUGGAGAUGCUCGGUGAUAAAAUGAUGAUGAAAUUUAAUCGAUUCGUCGUCUAAUUGUAUAAUUUAUCGUUAAAUAAAUUAUAGUCAAAUUAA